CUGUGUUCCUGUUAGAGCCACCAGCACAAGCACCAGACGAUGCUGAUCCAGGUGAAGGCCCCAGUGCAGCAGCAACAGCACAUGAUGGAGACGAUGAUGAGGAGGAGACCAUCUCUCUGGAUUCCAGAAGGCAUGAGGACCCAGAUGCUAUACAGUGGGAAAACCAGCCAGGCAACAUAGUGCGUAUUAAUAAAAGGACACCACAUCCUGCCAAAUUCCAGCUGCGCUAAUUGUAUUGUGUUCACAGAGCUCACAAGCUAUCAGAAAGUUGUAUGGCAACCACCUCCGGCGCC